GUGGCAGCAGCCGCGGUAAAACCAGCACCUCAAGUGGUCAGGAGGAUUAUUGGGCCUAAAGCAUCCGUAGCCUGCUCUGUAAGUUUCCGGUUAAAUCCAUUAGCUUAACUGAUGGGCCGCCGGAAAAACUGCAAAGCUAGGGAGUGGGAGAGGUAGACGGUACUCGGUAGGAAGGGGUAAAAUCCUUUGAUCUAUUGAUGACCACCUGUGGCGAAGGCGGUCUACCAGAACACGUUCGACGGUGAGGGAUGAAAGCUGGGGGAGCAUACCGGAUUAGAUACCCGGGUAGUCCCAGCUGUAAACGAUGCAGACUCGGUGAUGCCCUGGCUUGUGGCCAGUGCAGUGCCGCAGGGAAGCCGUUAAGUUUGCCGCCUGGGAAGUACGUACGCAAGUAUGAAACUUAAAGGAAUUGGCGGGGGAGCACCACAAGGGGUGAAGCCUGCGGUUCAAUUGGAGUCAACGCCAGAAAUCUUACCCGAGGAGACAGCAGAAUGAAGGUCAAGCUGGAGACUUUACCAGACAAGCUGAGAAGUGGUGCAUGGCCGUCGCCAGCUCGUGCCGUGAGAUGUCCUGUUAAGUCAGGUAACGAGCGAGAUCCCUGCCUCUAGUUGCCACCAUUACUCUCAGGAGUAGUGGGGCGAAUUAGCGGGACCGCCACAGUUAAUGUGGAGGAAGGAAGGGGCCACGGCAGGUCAGUAUGCCCUGAAACCUUGGGGCCACACGCGGGCUGCAAUGAUAGUGACAAUGAGUUCCUAAACCGAAAGGUGGAGGCAAUCUUCAAACGCUAUCACAGUUAUGAUUGAGGGCUGCAACUCGCCCUCAUGAAUAUGGAAUCCCUAGUAACUGCGUGUCAUUACCGCGCGGUGAAUACGUCCCUGCUCCUUGCACACACCGCCCGUC
rnacentral:rRNA from 1 species